GCUUGUUUUUACGCCUCUUCUCUACUAAUACGUUAGCGAGACAUUAUCAAAUUAAUUAUGGCAUGUACCGGUACAAAUAUCAACCACUGUGUCUUUUGAAUUCUCUCCAACACAUCAACUCAAGAGCAUGUCAGCAUUUAAAGAAGCCCUGGGGCAGUGCUGCAUGAAGCUUCACAAUACCCUUUUUACAAGACUACACCCGGAGUUAUUGGAAUUUGAUGUGACUUGGAAUGAUUUGAGGACCACAGCUGUCAUUAACUGCACGUCUACUCUUGACUACCCACGUAACGUCGAAGUCUGGUUCGCCCUUCUUCGUUGGGUCCGGGAGUCGUACCUGUAAAAUGAUUUCUCUGCGACGUGAGACAAGCGGCAUGCAUUGAAUGCAUCGACGUUGCUCAAUGAAAUGCUGUACCUAUCCGCGUCAA